AUUGAACGCUGGCGGCAGGCCUAACACAUGCAAGUCGAACGACUGGCGGACGGGUGAGUAAUGUCUGGGAAACUGCCUGAUGGAGGGGGAUAACUACUGGAAACGGUAGCUAAUACCGCAUACCAUCGGAUGUGCCCAGAUGGGAUUAGCUAGUAGGUGGGGUAAAGGCUCACCUAGGCGACGAUCCCUAGCUGGUCUGAGAGGAUGACCGGCCACACUGGAACGGGGACACGGUCCAGGCGCCUGCGGGAGGCAGCAGUGGGGAAUAGUGGGCAGUGGUCGCAAGCCUGAUGCAGCCAGGCCGCGUGUAUGAAGAAGGCCUUCGGUGUGUAAAGUACUUUCAGCGGGGAGGCGGUACCAACAGAAUAAGCACCGGCUAACUUCGUGCCAGCCGCCGCGGUAAUAC
rnacentral:rRNA from 1 species